AUGCACGAGGCAAACCGCCACUCCAGUGCUGUGCCCACGAGUUGCCGGUUCUACAAAAAGCUGGACGCGAUACUCGGUGGCAACCUCACCUCCACUGUGAAGUCCCCCGUGGAUACUUCGUUGGUUUGCGUGCCAGUCGAGAUGUCCCCGGGCAGAGCCGAGAUCCAGCAACCGGGCACCGCAGAAGGUGUGGAGGGAGCCGAGCUGAACUUCACCUGCUCUCACCCCUCAAUCAAGACGAAUGAGAAUGUAGUUUGGUACCGGCAGUUCCCGAACCGAGGACCCGAAUUUAUAGUUUCUGGAUACCGGGAAACCACUCAUAUCCCCGACCCCGAGGGAGCUUUGCAUGUUUCUGGAGACAGAAAGUCCAGCGCCCUGGCCCUGAGCAGGGCGCGGCUGGCAGACGCAGCGGUGUAUUACUGCGCUCUGAGAGACACAGUGUGA